rnacentral:rRNA from 1 species
GUCCACGCUGUAAACGAUGUCAACUAGCCGUUAGACUCUUUAAGGGUUUAGUGGUGCAGCUAACGCGAUAAGUUGACCGCCUGGGGAGUACGGUCGCAAGAUUAAACUCAAAUGAAUUGACGGGCCCGCACAAGCGGUGGAGUAUGUGGUUUAAUUCGAUGCAACGCGAAGAACCUUACCUGGCCUUGACAUGUCCGGAACUGAGCAGAGAUGCUUGGGUGCCUUCGGGAACCGGAACACAGGUGCUGCAUGGCUGUCGU